rnacentral:lncRNA from 1 species
AAAACUUUGCUUUGCUCUUAUCCAUUCUCAUUCGAGACAAAAUUAGCAUCAAAAGUUCAAAACAGAAAAUGGUGAUCAGAAGAAAAGCAGCUCUCAGCCUCUUAUGGAUAUUAACGGCGUUAACUGUACACCUCGUGAUUGUCGCCGGCGAGUAUUUCAAGCCGUUCAAUGUUACCUACGAUCACCGUGCUCUCAUCAUCGCCGGCAAACGCCGUAUUCUUAUCUCCGCUGGCAUUCACUACCCUCGCGCCACUCCUGAGGUCUUUAAUAUUUCCCUAAAUUUUUUUUUUUGUUAUUAAUCUUUUCCUCUGAAUUUGCUGCUCUCUUGUGUAGUUUGACCUGAGACCUGAGUUUAAGAAAAAAGAAAAAGAAAAGAAUGCAAACAUUCGGCACAUAAUUUUAAUAUAUAUAUAUAUAUAUAUAUAUAUAUAUAUAUAAAACAUACUUCAACAUACUAUAUCAUAACUAUAUUAAGAAUAUUAAUCAAGGGCUAAAAUGGAAACUCAAAAAGUAAAUACUUUCCAAAAACAAUUAUAAAGAAAGAAAAUAAAGAAAUGUGGAGUAUGUUGUAUUGGAGUGAUGAGUUAUAGUUCCAUGGAAUUGAAAAUAAUAAAAAAGAUUAAGUAAAAAGUAGCUGCUAUGUGGAUUAUUCUUUGGAUUCAUGGGGAAUUAAGAAGGAAAUAAUGGUAAAGAAAACAUUUUUCUUAUAACAUUUUCCUUAAAUAAAUUUCUAGGGAAACAUUAAUUUGCUUUGUCUACAACAACAACAACAACUACCCAGUAUAUUCCACCAGGUGGGGUCUGGGGAGGGUAAUAUGUAGACGAGCCUUACCCCUGCCCGAAAGGGCCUCAUUAAAUACGCGCAAAAUAUUAAAUUAGAACCCUCCUCUUUCAUAAAGUUGAAAUCUUGGGCCAUGAUAGUAACGGGACAACCUCACUAACUCCUACCCCCCCCCCCCUGGCCCCGACAUAUUUAUAUAUAUUUUGAGAAAGCAAAAAAAAAAAAACUUUGCUUUGCUCUUAUCCAUUCUCAUUCGAGACAAAAUUAGCAUCAAAAGUUCAAAACAGAAAAUGGUGAUCAGAAGAAAAGCAGCUCUCAGCCUCUUAUGGAUAUUAACGGCGUUAACUCUACACCUCGUGAUUGUCGCCGGCGAGUAUUUCAAGCCGUUCAAUGUUACCUACGAUCACCGUGCUCUCAUCAUCGCCGGCAAACGCCGUAUUCUUAUCUCCGCUGGCAUUCACUACCCUCGCGCCACUCCUGAG